rnacentral:rRNA from 1 species
AUAAACGCUGGCGGCGCACAUAAGACAUGCAAGUCGAACGGAAGUCGUUGUAAUGAAAUAGAAACGGACAGAGAACUUGUUCGAAGAAAGUGGAAGUAGACUUACAACAAUGGCUUUAGUGGCGGACUGGUGAGUAACGCGUAAGGAACCUGCCUUCUAGGGGGGAAUAACAAUGAGAAAUCAUUGCUAAUACCGCAUAUGCCGAGAGAAUCACAUGGUACAAUCGGGAAAAGAGUAAUCUGCUAGAAGAUGGCCUUGCGUCUGAUUAGAUAGUUGGUGGGGUAACGGCCUACCAAGUCGACGAUCAGUAGCCGGACUGAGAGGUUGAACGGCCACAUUGGGACUGAGAUACGGCCCAGACUCCUACGGGAGGCAGCAGUCGGGAAUAUUGCGCAAUGGAGGAAACUCUGACGCAGUGACGCCGCGUAUAGGAAGAAGGUUUUCGGAUUGUAAACUAUUGUCGUUAGGGAAGAGAAAGGACAGUACCUAAGGAGGAAGCUCCGGCUAACUACGUGCCAGCAGCCGCGGUAAUACGUAGGGAGCGAGCGUUAUCCGGAAUUAUUGGGUGUAAAGGGUGCGUAGACGGGAAGAUAAGUUAGUUGUGAAAUCCCUCGGCUUAACUGAGGAACUGCAACUAAAACUGUUUUUCUUGAGUGCAGGAGAGGUAAGUGGAAUUCCUAGUGUAGCGGUGAAAUGCGUAGAUAUUAGGAGGAACACCAGUGGCGAAGGCGACUUACUGGACUGUAACUGACGUUGAGGCACGAAAGUGUGGGGAGCAAACAGGAUUAGAUACCCUGGUAGUCCACACCGUAAACGAUGGAUACUAGGUGUAGGAGAUAUUAAGUCUUCUGUGCCGUCGCAAACGCAGUAAGUAUCCCACCUGGGGAGUACGGCCGCAAGGUUGAAACUCAAAGGAAUUGACGGGGGCCCGCACAAGCGGAGGAACAUGUGGUUUAAUUCGAUGAUACGCGAGGAACCUUACCCGGGCUUAAAUUGCAAAUGAAUUAUGGGGAAACCCAUACGCCGCAAGGCAUUUGUGAAGGUGCUGCAUGGUUGUCGUCAGCUCGUGUCGUGAGAUGUUGGGUUAAGUCCCGCAACGAGCGCAACCCCUGUUCUUAGUUGCCAGCAUGUAAAGAUGGGAACUCUAAGAAGACUGCCGUAGAUAAUACGGAGGAAGGUGGGGAUGACGUCAAAUCAUCAUGCCCUUUAUGUCCUGGGCUACACACGUACUACAAUGGAUGUUACAGAGGGAAGCUAAAUAGUGAUAUGGAGCGAAACCCAAAAAGCAUCCCCAGUUCGGAUUGUAGGCUGAAAUUCGCCUACAUGAAGCCGGAAUUGCUAGUAAUGGCAGGUCAGCAUACUGCCGUGAAUACGUUCCCGGGCCUUGUACACACCGCCCGUCACACCAUGAGAGUUGGGGAUACCCGAAGCCUGUGAGCCAACAGUUAAACGAGGCAGCAGUCGAAGGUAGAAUCAAUGAUUGGGGUG